rnacentral:rRNA from 1 species
AUACAGGGGGUGCGAGCGUUAAUCGGAAUUACUGGGCGUAAAGAGUACGUAGGCGGUUGCUUAAGUCAGAUGUGAAAGCCCCGGGCUCAACCUGGGAACUGCAUUUGAAACUGAGUGACUAGAGUUUAAGAGAGGGGAGUAGAAUUCCGGGUGUAGCGGUGAAAUGCGUAGAGAUCCGGAGGAAUACCAGUGGCGAAGGCGGCUCCCUGGCUUAAAACUGACGCUGAGGUACGAAAGCGUGGGUAGCAAACAGGAUUAGAUACCCGAGUAGUCC